rnacentral:lncRNA from 1 species
CCGGUAUGGCCUUCGUAACAUUGUCCACAACAAUAUCCUGAUGGUGGCGGCGGGUAUUCUUGAACUGGCACUGGUACAGGCUCUGGUGCUGGUGGUGGUGCAACUGGUGGUGGUUUAGGAGCUUCUUUCGGCUUUUCUGGCUCUUUGGGUUUUUCAGGCUCUUUCGGCUUUUCAGGUGCCUUAGGCUUCUCAGGCUCUUUGGGCUUCUCAGGCUGUUUAGGUUUUUCGGGCUCUUUGGACUUUUCGGGUUGUUUAGGUUUUUCUGGCUCUUUGGGCUUUUCGGGUUGUUUGGGUUUUUCGGGUUCUUUGGGCUUUUCAGGUGGUUUGGGCUUUGGAGGCUCUAUGAUUUCAAUGCUUUUGAUUACUCCACACCCUUUACUACACAGUUUGUCACGUAGUUUUUCAGGAUUGCAACAAAUCACAGUAAUUGUAACUUUAUUGCCCUUCUCAUCAUAUAUUUGGUCUCUAAUUUCUAUUGCCAAAAAAAAAAAAAAAUCACACCAAAUUUUUUUUUAGAAAAAAUCAAAUAAAUUCCUAUUCAUAUUAUAAUAAUAUUGAAA